CACAACAGUACCGCACCUGGAGGGCGUCCAGGUCGGCGCUGAUCACGUCAUCGAUCUCCCUGCAAAUUACGGAGUGGGAGGAUGAUUUCAGGCGGGGAAUCUCAGCAGAGGAAUUCUCUCAACAACAGCUCUCCUCCCUAACCCCCAGUUCCCUCCUUCCCGUUACAACGCUCGUGUGACCCUCUGCCCCACCAGACCUCAACUUGACCUUGGCCUCACCUGGAACACGUGGAAGCCCACAGUGAGCAGCGUCAGCCGGAACUGGGGAUUGGUCCAGAAGGUUUCUGACAGAAGAGAAGGAGGUGGAGUUCCCAGCCUGCCACAGCCCCCGCCCCAGCUUCCUUCUCAGGGGCCCUCAGGCCUCACCAGCACUGGGCUGGCUCCCGCCGGAGUUGAAACCUCUCACCCAGCGGCCCUGGAAGAUGUGGAUAUGCCAGCCUCCGCCAGCAGGGCUGGGACCCAGCACCUCAGGGCUCAGUGAACAGAUCUGGACCGUGUUGAAGUGCGUGAGGAAGUCCUGAAGCUCCAUCCUGGACAGCACCGACCAUGGGAGAUGCCCAGUCACUCCGGAGUCCAACUUGAGGGACCCCAAAAGUGGUCUCCAGCCACAAAGCUCCCAGUUCCUUAAAUACUGCCAAUAUAAGCUCCACUCUCCAGAAACCCUGAAGGUCUGAGGCCUUGCCAAGUCAUCCGAGUCCUGACAAAUGCCCCACUACUGGGGAUAUUUAAACUCUCAGAUAUCUUCAAAUUAACUUUAGACAAUCUUCAGGUAGGCCGGGAAGAUGACGGAGCCGGUAAAGCUAUGGUCGCAGCUCACCUGUGGUCGCGUGCUAUUACUUUAACCGUGUAUAGGUGUAUUGUGUUUCUCUGCUUUUGUUAACGGUGCAAAGACAUGUGACAUUUAUUUGAGUAAAUAAAAUU